ACCUCCUACGGGAGGCAGCAGUGGGGAAUUUUGGACAAUGGGCGAAAGCCUGAUCCAGCAAUGCCGCGUGAGUGAAGAAGGCCUUCGGGUUGUAAAGCUCUUUUGUCAGGGAAGAAACGGUGAAAGCUAAUAUCUUUUGCUAAUGACGGUACCUGAAGAAUAAGCACCGGCUAACUACGUGCCAGCAGCCGCGGUAAUACGUAGGGUGCAAGCGUUAAUCGGAAUUACUGGGCGUAAAGCGUGCGCAGGCGGUUUUGUAAGUCUGAUGUGAAAUCCCCGGGCUCAACCUGGGAAUUGCAUUGGAGACGGCAAGGCUAGAAUCUGGCAGAGUGGGGUAGAAUUCCACGUGUAGCAUUGAAAUGCGUAGAUAUGUGGAGGAACACCGAUGGCGAAGGCAGCCCCCUGGGUCAAGAUUGACGCUCAUGCACGAAAGCGUGGGGAGCAAACAGGAUUAGAAACCCCUGUAGUCCC
rnacentral:rRNA from 1 species